CCUACGGGGGGCAGCAGUGGGGAAUAUUGCACAAUGGGCGCAAGCCUGAUGCAGCCAUGCCGCGUGUAUGAAGAAGGCCUUCGGGUUGUAAAGUACUUUCAGCGAGGAGGAAGGCGUUAAGGUUAAUAACCUUAGCGAUUGACGUUACUCGCAGAAGAAGCACCGGCUAACUCCGUGCCAGCAGCCGCGGUAAUACGGAGGGUGCAAGCGUUAAUCGGAAUUACUGGGCGUAAAGCGCACGCAGGCGGUCUGUCAAGUCGGAUGUGAAAUCCCCGGGCUC
rnacentral:rRNA from 1 species